GACGAACGCUGGCGGCGUGCUUAACACAUGCAAGUCGAGCGGUAAGGCCCUUUCGGGGGUACACGAGCGGCGAACGGGUGAGUAACACGUGGGUGACCUGCCCUCAGCUCUGGGAUAAGCCCGGGAAACUGGGUCUAAUACUGGAUAUGACUCCACGGUGCAUGUCGUGGGGUGGAAAGCCUUGUGCGGCUGAGGAUGGGCCCGCGGCCUAUCAGCUUGUUGGUGGGGUGAUGGCCUACCAAGGCGACGACGGGUAGCCGGCCUGAGAGGGCGACCGGCCACACUGGGACUGAGACACGGCCCAGACUCCUACGGGAGGCAGCAGUGGGGAAUCUUGCGCAAUGGGCGAAAGCCUGACGCAGCGACGCCGCGUGA
rnacentral:rRNA from 1 species